UGGGGAAUAUUGGGCAAUGGGCGCAAGCCUGACCCAGCAACGCCGCGUGAAGGAAGAAGGCUUUCGGGUUGUAAACUUCUUUUGUCAGGGACGAGUAGAAGACGGUACCUGACGAAUAAGCCACGGCUAACUACGUGCCAGCAGCCGCGGUAAUACGUAGGUGGCAAGCGUUGUCCGGAUUUACUGGGUGUAAAGGGCGUGUAGGCGGAGAAGCAAGUCAGAAGUGAAAUCCAUGGGCUUAACCCAUGAACUGCUUUUGAAACUGUUCCCUUGAGUAUCGGAGAGGCAGGCGGAAUUCCUAGUGUAGCGGUGAAAUGCGUAGAUAUUAGGAGGAACACCAGUGGCG
rnacentral:rRNA from 1 species